CGGAGGAAAAGAAACUAACAAGGAUUCCCCUAGUAACGGCGAGUGAAGCGGGAAAAGCUCAAAUUUGUAAUCUGGCGCCUUGGGCGUCCGAGUUGUAAUCUCGAGAAGUAUUUUCCGCGCUGGACCGCACAUAAGUCUGUUGGAAUACAGCGUCAUAGUGGUGAGAACCCCGUAUAGGGUGCGGAUGCCCAGUGCUUUGUGAUAUACUUUCGAAGAGUCGAGUUGUUUGGGAAUGCAGCUCAAAUUGGGUGGUAAAUUCCAUCUAAAGCUAAAUAUUGGCGAGAGACCGAUAGCGAACAAGUACCGUGAGGGAAAGAUGAAAAGCACUUUGGAAAGAGAGUUAACAGUACGUGAAAUUGUUGGAAGGGAAACGCUUGAAGUCAGACUUGCAUUUUGGAGUUCAGCCGCAAGGUGUAUUCUUCAAUUCGCAGGCCAGCAUCAGUUUUUGGGGGUGGAAAAGCGCGGUUCGAAGGUAGCAGUCUCGGCUGUGUUAUAGCUUGCCGCUGGAUUCACUUUUGGGGA
rnacentral:rRNA from 1 species